CGCCCUCCUGUUCUGGAACCACACCUCCACCUGCUACGGCUUCAGAUUCAACUGCCUCGCCAGCGCCGCCUUCUGCUUCUGAAUCCAACAAGAAGAAGAUCGCAUAUAUCAAUCAGAUUGUUCUUGAUCGAUUUCUUGGUGUCCUCGAGGACGGCGGCUUGGUCCUUCGAGAGGCGGAGCUUCUUGCGGGAUCCGCCGCCGGAGUCCUCGCUGCCACCGCCGCCGGAGCAGAUGGCGCGCCGCGCUUGCCGCUGAGGCUGGAGAGCGUGCUGUUGGGGGAGGCUGGAGGACGCGGCGGGCGAAAGCCGGAUGGUCCAGCCCACCGCGGCCGCCGCUCAAGCGCUGCUGCAAGACGCUCACUGACGAGAAGCUGAAGUGGGGGCCGCCGCUCCCGCCGCCGCCGCAGCCGCUCCAGCUCGUGCUCCCCGCGGCCGGCUAAAGGGGAGGAGAAGAGAAAGAGAAAGAGAAAGAAAGAGACAAGGGAGGAAGAGGGGGAGGAAGAAGAAAGAGAGAGGAUGACAUGUGGGGCCCACAUCAAUUUUUAUGUGUGUGAAUGAUAACUGGGUCCCACGUAUAUAUUUUUAAUUCAAAUGCUACCUCAGCGGCACGUCAACCUCAUGAACUAGGUCAACACUGCCACGUCAGCAAAAUCGUCCUCCAAAACCACAAAAGAAGUUAAAUUGCACUGUUUUCAAUAAUUCGGGGGUCGAAAUAUCAGGUUUUGUGGUUUAUGAUCAUGUAUUAGAUUCGGGUCAAUUUUUAAAGGAGUCAAUGUGGACUUAUUCCCCACAUUGAUUGAUCUGGAGCGCGCCCAACUUUUAGAUCCUUCUCUGAUAGUUUUU